rnacentral:lncRNA from 1 species
AAAGGCACAUGCUGUAGCACACACACGUGAGACUACUCUCCUUUCUACUUUCUCACUCCAAAAUCCAUACAUACAAUACCAAUAAAAUAAUAAAAAUGAGACCACUUCUCUUCCAUCAUUUAAUGCAUAAAAGUAAAGCAAACAAGGCUUUGGAAACCAAUUCCACGCUACUUUCAUGUCCAAACACAUCAAAUUUCAUCUUUUUUACCUCAUGGUGGGACCCACAUGACAAGGUGGAAAGUAAAAAGAGUUAGGAGCCUUUUUGGUCUUGAGAGGGUUAGAACUUAAGACCAAGCACACAUCCCUCCCAUGCACACACAACAACCACUAGACCAAGCUCCAUCCGCUGAUAUAAUAGCGCAAACAAUUAUAUUUAAAUACGUUUCCAAGCUUUUUCGAAAAUUAAUAUAAAACCAUUAUCAAUUUAAUUUUCUUCCCUUCCUUAAAUAUUUCUCAACAACGUUUCACCUCAAAAUUUAUUAUCUAAUACCACCAAAAUUAAAUUGCUUAAGGUAAGAAAUCAUUUUAUUUAUACGGGUCUUACAUUAGUGUGUGUUGUGUUUUGUCUUGUGUUGUGUGUAUGAUGUUCUGUUUUGUGUGUGAUGUUAUGUAUUGUUGCAUUUAGAUAGCCUUAGUUGCAUAUUUUCAUUGCAUUCUUCUUUCCCCCUUUCUUUCUACAUGUCUACCUAUUAUGAUUUUGUGAAUACUGCUUCUUCUACCUGUGUCUAUGAUUAUGAUUCUCCUUUCGGAUCUAACUCUGAUAUGACUAUUAUGAUUCUACAUAUUCUGCUGACUUUUAUGUUGAGAACAAUAUGACUCAUCCUCCCCUUCUUGAGAGUGAUCCUAGGGAGCCAGCUUCACUUAAUGAGGAUGAUGUUCAUUGCGUUCUCACCUUUGGAAUGAUACAUUUGCU